rnacentral:lncRNA from 1 species
GAAAAGGGAUCUGCCAUAAAAUUGUGCCAAUCAGUUGAGCAAUUGCACCUUGCGGUAGAGGAGUGCAGUGCAGAGAGAUUACCCCAUUUAUUGGGUCUUAGUAAAAAGAAACCAGAGACAAUGUCCCGUGUAAGUCUGACUAAAAGUCUGGCUUCAGAAAAGAAUUAUUCUCAGGAAGAUGUACAAGAGUUUCAGGCCACUUUAAGUCAAUGCACGGUGGCAAGAACCUCAUCCCCAGUGGAAUUGACCAGCAAUGGGUCUGUGCAUAGUAUAAUGAAUGCCUGUCUCUUGAAAGUCGAAGAGAAUUCGGUUGAAUCAGUGUUGGAAUUGCACCAGGCAGCAGGCGAGUUCAGUGCAGAGGUUCCCAGAGCCAUUGAUUUGUCUAUGGUUCCGGCAAUCAGCACUGACAAAAUGCCUGAGCCAUCUCUCACCAUCACUAAGGCUCAAGGAAAGACAACCAAAAACAGGCGAGAGAGAUCCUAUUCCCCUAGUUGUUGUCUACAGAAGGAGCAAAAGAAAGAUAAAGGGAGUUCCAUUUCUACUUUGUCUGACAAAGCUAUGUUUGUUGACAAUGUGUACCAGGACCUGCUCCAAGAAAAGGGAUCUGCCAUAAACUUGUGCCAAUCAGUUGAGCAAUUGCACCUUGCGGUAGAGGAGUGCAGUGCAGAGAGAUUACCCCAUUUAUUGGGUCUUAGUAAAAAGAAACCAGAGACAAUGUCCCGUGUAAAUCUGACUAAAAGUCUGGCUUCAGAAAAUAAUUAUUCUCAGGAAGAUGUACAAGAGUUUCAGGCCACUUUAAGUCAAUGCACGGUGGCAAGAACCUCAUCCCCAGUGGAAUUGAUCAGCAAUGGGUCUGUGCAUAGUAUAAUAAAUUCCUGUCUCUUGAAAGUCGAAGAGAAUUCGGUUGAAUCAGUGUUGGAAUUGCACCAGGCAGCAGGCGAGUUCAGUGCAGAGGUUCCCAGAGCCAUUGAUUUGUCUGUGUUUCCGGCAAUAAGCACUGACAAAAUGCCUGAGCCAUCUCUCACCAUCACUAAGGCUCAAGGAAAGACAACCAAAAACAGACGAGAGAGAUUCUAUUUCCCUAGUUGUUGUCCACAGAAGGCGCAAAGUAAAGCCAAAGGGAGUUCCAUUUCUACUUUGUCUGACAAAGCUAUGUUUGUUGACAAUGUGUACCAGGACCUGCUCCAAGAAAAGGGAUCUGCCAUAAAAUUGUGCCAAUCAGUUGAGCAAUUGCACCUUGCGGUAGAGGAGUGCAGUGCAGAGAGAUUACCCCAUUUAUUGGGUCUUAGUAAAAAGAAACCAGAGACAAUGUCCCG